rnacentral:sRNA from 1 species
GCCGGGUGCAGUGGCUCACGCCUGGAAUUCCAGCAACUCCGGAGGCUGAGGCAGGAGGAUCGUAAGGUCAAGGCGAGCUUCAGCAAUUUAGUGAGGCACUAAGCAACUCAGCGAGACCCUGUCUCUA